GACGAACGCUGGCGGCGCGCUUAACACAUGCAAGUCGAGCGAAGUGGCGGACGGGUGAGUAACACGUGAGUAACCUGCCUUUCACAGGGGAAUAACACUGGGAAACCAGUGCUAAUACCGCAUAGUGAAAGAUGGCCUCGCGCCUGAUUAGCUAGUAGGUGAGGUAACGGCUUACCUAGGUGAUGAUCAGUAGCCGGACUGGAGGGUGAUCGGCCGCAUUGGGACUGAGACACGGCCCAGACUCCUACGGGAGGCAGCAGUGGGGAAUAUUGGGCAAUGGCGCAAGCCUGACCCAGCAACGCCGCGUGAAGGAAGACGGUCUUCGGAUUGUAAACUUCUUUAGACAGGGACGCGGUACCUGUAGAAUAAGCCACGGCUAACUACGUGCCAGCAGCCGCGGUAAUUC
rnacentral:rRNA from 1 species